GUGUGAGCCAUCAUGCCUAGCUAAUUUUGAAAUUUUUAGUAGGGAUGAGGUCUUGCUAUGCUGUCCAGUCUGGUCUCGAGCUCCUGGGCUCAAACAAUUUUCCCACCUCGGCUGGUGUUUCUUUUUUUUUCUUUUUAGACAGAGUCUCACUCUGUCACCCAGGCUGGAGUGCAGUGGCAUGAUCUCGGCUCACUACAACCUCUGCCUCCUGGGUUCAAGAGAUUCUCUUGCCUCAGCCUCCUGAGUAGCUGGGGCUACAGGUGUGCACCACCAUCCCCAGCUAAUUUUUGUAUUUUUAGUAGAGAUGGGGUUUCACCAUGCUGGCCAGGCUGGUUUCAAACUCCUGACCUCAUGAUCCUAAAGUGCUGCGAUUACAGGCGUGAGCCACCGUGCCUAGCCCUUGGCUGGUGUUUCUUGUAUUGGUUAUCAUUUUGGCUUCAGGGAGAUUGAGCACAAUCUUAGAGCUUUACUCUUCCCUGGCCAUUCCAGCAGAUUGGCUUCAGCUUCCUGCUCCCUGCUUUCAAUUAUAGAAUAUUUCCCUUAAUCUACAGUCCUAUUUUUUGUGCUCCUCCUUAUCCAGUUGUCCACAAUGCUGCUAUAUGCCAGGCUUGUGCUAGGAUCUGGGAACAGAGAUGAAUAAAACAUGGUCCCUCAGUCUUCAGCAGCUCAUAAAGAACUGGGAAAAACAGAGUUGCAAGGAACUCACAGGGAGUUAGCAGAAUAUUGCAUGUUGCCAGAAGAGACCUCCCAUGGUGCAGUCUCCUUGUUCACAGCACGGAAGCUGCCAGAAUAGGAAACAGAGUGGGAAGACGGAGCAGUGGAGCGAGGGUGGCCCAGGACACGCGAGGGGCCCGCCAUAGCCAUCCAGCCUGGUCCUGAGACCUGAGCUGGAAUGUUGGCGUGAUGGUUGAAGCUGUAACAGCCAUCUUCGACUACAAAAUGGAAGCUGCAUGCUACAAAUGACAGAAGACAAGAUCAAAAGAACCUGUGUUCCCAGCACCACAGAACUGUCCCUAUGGAAAUAGACAUGACUGUUACAUAAGAAAGAAAUAUACCCUACUAUGUUUAAGCCUCUGUUAUUUUAGCAUGUGUUGUAGCAGUUGUAUACUAAGUAACUAAUGAGAAAGAAUAUUUUGUGCCCUGGUAAAGAUGGAUACUUCUAUAUGUUAUGAGAACAAUUUGAUGAGGUAAUUGUAAUUUAGUAGAAUAAUAUCAAAUAUUAAUGUCAAAUGACUAGUUUGGCAUUGCCACAUAGUAAUUGUUGGGCAAGUUAUUAACCUGUGUCUCAGUUUCCUCACUGGUAGAAUAACAAUAACAGACAAUCGUACUAGUGUCUAACGUUUUACUGAACAUGUAGCUUGGUUCAGCGCCACACAUUAUUUGAAUUAAGUAGAAUAAGAGAGUCCUGAGUAAAUAUAACCCAAAUGUAAAUUAUUUUUAAACUUUAUUACAUAUGUGAAUAUUAUUAUUUGAGCUUCUCAUACUGACUUCUUAUUUACUUAACUGAUUCUAGGCAUUGACCACUCCUGAGAUUUUGCAUCCAUACUCCCUAAAAGUUCUGGUCCAAAAUUUAGCACACAAUAAAUAUUUAAUGAGGGCAUAGCUUAUUUUUAAGUAGGUACCUCUAUUCACAGAAUGUUUUUCUCUUGAUUAAAAAAAUUAAUUGCAUUAUAUACAUAACAUAAAAUUCACUAUUUUAACCAUUUUAAGUGUACAAUUCAGUGGCAUUAAAUACAUUUACAUUGCUCUGAACCAUCACCACUAUCCAUUUCCAGAAUUUUUCAUCAUUCCAAAUAGAAACUCCAUAUUCAUUAAAUAAUAACUCUCCAUUCUUCCUUCCCUUGGCCCUUGGUAAACUCUUUUCUACUUUCUUUCUCUAUGAAUUUGCCUAUUCUAGGCACCCCAUAUAAGUGGAUUCAUUCACUAUUGGCCUUUUUGUGUUUGACUUAUUUCACUUGAAAUAAUGUUUUCAAGGUUCAUCAUGUUAUAGCACAGCACAUGUUAGAAUUUCAUUUGUUUUAAAAUUUAUUUUACUUCAUGUUCUGGGAUACCUGUGCAGAAUGUGCAGGUUUGCUACAUAGGUAUACAUGUGCCAUGGUGAUUUGCUGCACCUAUCAACCCAUCAUUAGAAUUUCUUUCAUUUUUAAAGUUCAAUAAUAUUUUAUUAUAGGUGUAUGCCAUAUCUUGUUUAUCUAUUUAUCCAUCAAUGGACUCGGAUUGUUUCUACCUUUUGGCCAUUGAACAACGCAGCUAUGAAAAAGGGUGUACAUGUUCUUGAUUUGUUGUUAAAGCAGCAAUUUUGACUUCAUAUCAGGAGUUGACAUUGAUGUUUCUCUGGGGUGGUGCAGCACACUGGAACCUGCUUGCUCUGUUUCUGUUUCUGUUUCUGUUUCUGUUAGCGCGAGCUUGUCCAACCCAUGGCCCACGGGCUACAUGUGACCCAGGAUGGGUUUGAAUGUGGCCCAACACAAAUUCGCAAACUUUCUUAAACAUUGGAGCUUUUUCUGAGGUUUUUUUUUUUUUUUUUUCUCAUCAGUUGUCGUUAGUGUUAGUGUAUUUUAUGUGUGGCCCAAGACAAUUCUUCUUCUUCCGUUAUGGCCCAGGGACAUCAAAAGAUCGGGCACCCCUGUGGUUAGCACGAUGCUUGGAAUAUUGAGUAUUUCACUGGUGCCUAGACACAAAAGCUAUCCCUGGCAGAGCUGUGAGAAUGUUCACAGUGUGAGGCCAUCUCACUUUGCACAGAAGGAUUCUAAGUCACAAAGAGAACAUGGAGAGGGUGACACCAAGGUAUACAGGCACAACAUGAAUUGUGCAAAUGAAUUUCUCUCUGUUCCUGGGUAUAAUGUGUCACACUGAUACUUGCAGACUGGAUGCAGGGGUGCUUCAGUUUACUGAACAGAGUCAGAGUUGGAGAUGGGAGCUGGAGGUCCGGCCUUCCAUACCCGGUACUGUAAAUGCUGUGUAUGUGUUUGGCCGAUAAUCCUUCCAUCUCUCAGUGUUGGCUCCCUGUUGUACAGGCAGAAGCUGAUGACUUUGAAGCUGCAUUAUAGCAGAAGAUUGCCUGAAGAAUGUGACCAUUACUCUAGCUUCUGGAAAAUGCAAUCAUGAGGAUUCUCACUUAGGUCGUUUAGCUCCAAAGACAUGGCUCCCUAGGCCUGCAGUUUUUAUACUGGCUGCCAGUCAAUUUUAGAAUUGGUGUCAACAUAGAAAGCACUGCGUGGCCUUGGAGUCUCUGAUGUUGAUCCUACAGUCUGACAGAUCAGAUUCCGGGAUGAUGGGAUUUUGACUGUCUCUAAAUUUCAGGCAAAGUCAGAUGAGGACACCACAGGCAGGUGUUCUCAUACAUCCCUGGUUUUAGCUCUGUCCCUUUGAGUUUCAGUCAUUCGGUACAAAUUCAUAUCCUUUUAUGUAUUGUGGUUUAAAAUAUUUUUGAUUGUUUACUGCUUGUUAGGCUAUGUAAAAGGCCUAAUGAGAUAUACUAAGAAAAGUAAGGAUGUUGGGCUGUGCUAGAAAAACAAAGGACUUAUGUUUCAUGUUUUGGUUAACUGCAGAAAUAAAAGAGUUUAUGGAAUGGAGUACCUCCCAAUCCACUGGCUGGGGUCUAGUGCCCUCAUUUGUGCUCUGCUCACUAGGUUUCUAAAAAAAAAAUUAACUAGUGUUUUUAAUUGAAAAAGAGAUACAUGCCUUAGUCUGGGAAGCCACCUGAGGAAAAGCUGAAGUGCUACUGCUUACUUGGGAGGUACAAUGCCAAGGCAGCGGGAGCAAGGGAAGGGGUGUUGUGGCAGGGAAGGAUGGGAAGCAAACACCAGGUGGUGUGUUACUGCACAUAUACAUACAAGGUGACUGCUGUUCACAAGUGUGUCAGCCCCUUGGAAUGGCUCUGGACAAGAUAUGCAGAAACACCAUAUCCUGCAGCGGUCCAUGGAGGGAUGAAUGACAAAGACAUUUAUUUGUUGGUUCUUUCCCAUUUUCUGUCCUUCCAUAAGUUAAAGUUCACCGUAUGGGGUGUUAUUGGCCCUGUGCCCUCAGGUUGCAUCCCCUGACCGCUUGGCAGCUGUUGUAGAAGUCAGACUCCACAGGAUGUCACUUCAUCUGAAGCAGUGGGAAGAACCAGAGACUUUGACCAUUGAUCUCACUGGAGUGGACCAGAUGGGUGGGGCAAGUGAAAGAGGUCAAGGAGAGGGCUGAAGCUAGAGAAUCUGAGGUAGCCUAUAAGCUGGGUUCCCUACAGACAUAGUAAAACUUUCAGCAAUACUAAAGAGUAUACAAUAAAUACAUUUUCCUUCCAGCUCAGACCACCAAGUCACUGUCAGUAGUCUGCCCUAACAUCUUGUGUAUACCAAAUAUUCAUCUAUGUUUAUAAGAUCAUAUGUUACAAGAUUUUGCUGCUUGUAACAGAAACCCCACAUACGUGGCUAAAACAAGAGAGAAAUUUGUUGUUCUUUGUCAUGUAAAAGUCCGAGGAAGGCAGGAAGGCAGACUAAUGGCAACUCCCUGGUGAUCAUUCUGCUUCAUCAUGUUUAGCAUGUUUCUAUCCUCAAAGCUACUUUAUCAGAGAAAAAAAAAAGGGCAAAAUACUGUGUCUUCUAGCUGUGUUAGUCUCAUUUAAGCAGUUUUCUCAAAGGCCCUACACAACAAUUUUCACUUCAAUUUCACUGGCCAGCCCUAGCAGCAAGGGAGGCUCGGAGGUGAGAAAUAGAACCUUUUAGACAGGUAUUUUGCAGCCAAAUAAAAUCAGAGUUUAUUUAGUAAAAAUGAAGGAAAGGAUGAAUAUUGGGUAGACAACUAGCAGGUUCAUUUUACCCAAAUUCAACACCUUGCUUUUUUAUAAUGUAAUGUACUUGGAUAUUGUUCAAGAGUAAUGCAUGUAGAUGUACUUCAUUUAUUUGAAUACAUUCAUUGUAUUCUAUUGUGUGAAAAUACUAAAAUUAACAUGUUCUCUAUGGGUAGAUAUUUAAAUUAUUUCUGAUAUUUUGGCUAUUAUAAACAGCACUACAAUUAACAUUGUUAGACAUAUAUAUUUACUCAUUUGAAUAUGUAUUUCUAGGAUAAAUUUACAGAUGAGGAAUCACUAGAUUGAAGGGGCAACUGCAUUUUGAAUUUUACUAUAUAUUAUCAAACAGCCCUCCAAAGUGCUCGCAUUAAUUUGCAUUCUCACCAACAGUAUAUAAAAGUACCUAUUGUCUUCCACUGCAGAUAGCAAUGUGAGUUAUUGGACGUUACGGCAUUUUCCAAUAUGAUAAGCAAAAAUUACAUCUUAUCAAUUUGGUUUUCAUGAAUUGUCUCAUUAACCUUCUAAAUGAUCAUAGAAGUGGUCAAUUCCACCUAUUUCCUAGCCCAAACCAGUUUGGAUCAAUGGGUGUUUAUAUUACUCCACAAUUUUAUAGAAAGGGAGAUUUAGAUUUUCGAUGUGUAAUCCGUUCUAGUCAUGAAACAUUUUUUAAAAAGAACAGCUUUAUUGAGGUGUAAUUUACAUAUCAUAAAGUGUACAAUUUAGUGUACAAUUCAGAGGUUUUUAGUAUAUUCAUAGAGUUGUGCAACCACUGCCAUUAUAUAAAUUCAGGACAUUUUCAUCCUUGUAAAAUAAAUCCUGUAUCCAUUAACAGUCACUCCCAUUCUUCUCCCCUCCUUAUGUUCCUUGGAAAUUACUAAUCGACUUCCUCUUUCUAUGGAUCUGCCUAUUCUGAACAUUUAAAUAUAAAUGGAAUUAUACAAUAUGUGACCUUUAGUGUCUAACUUCUUUCACUUAGGAUAAUGUUUGUCAAGGUUCAUCCAUGUUGUAGGAUGUACUAACACUUCAUUCUUUUAUUUUAUUUCAUUUUUCAUUGUGGUAAAAUGUAUAUAAAGUAAUAUUUAUUAUCUCAAGCAAUAAAUAUACAGUUUAGUAGCAUUAAAUACAUUGACAGUGUUGUGUACCUAUUACCACCAUCCAACUCCAAUCUUUUUCAUCUUUCCAAACUGAAGCUUUGUACCCAUUAAACACUAACUCCCCAUUCUCCUCUCUGUGUGUAUGAAUUUGACUACUCUCUGUACCUCAUAUAAAUGGAAUCAUACAAUAUUUGUCCUUAUGUGUCUGGCUUAUUUCACUUAACAUAAUGGCAUAAUGUCUUCUAGACCAUUCAUAUUGCAGCACAUAUCCAAAUUUCCUUCCUUUUAGUGGCUCAGUAGUGUAUACCACAUUUUGUUUAUCCAUUAAUAUGUUGAUGGACACUUGGGUUGCUUCUACCUUUUGGCUAUUGUGAAUAAUAUUGCUAUGAAC
rnacentral:lncRNA from 1 species